rnacentral:sRNA from 1 species
GCUGGGUGUAGUGGUGCACACCUGUAAUCCCAGCAGCUUGGGAGGCUGAGGCAAGAGGAUUGCAAGUUCAAAGUCAGCCUCAUCAACUCAGCAAGUUCUUAGGCAACUUAACAAUUUCCUGUCUCAA